GACCAAUAUCAUCUUAACUCAAAUUCUUCCCCUACUCUUUCUUCUUACUUCAUCAUUCUUACGUAACCCAAUAUAAGACCAAUAACAUUCACGGUGGCACCCACACACUAACUCACAUUAUUCCUACUGACCCUUACGUAACUUCAAUCCCCAAGGUUUCUUUUUCUCAUCUUCCUCAUCGUUAAUACACUCACACACAAUGCAACCACCUGAAAACAUCAACAAAAACC
rnacentral:lncRNA from 1 species